GACGAACGCUGGCGGCGUGCUUAACACAUGCCAGUCGAACGGAAAGGCCCUGCUUUUGUGGGGUGCUCGAGUGGCGAACGGGUGAGUAACACGUGAGUAACCUGCCCUUGACUUUGGGAUAACUUCAGGAAACUGGGGCUAAUACCGGAUAGGAGCUCCUGCUGCAUGGUGGGGGUUGGAAAGUUUCGGCGGUUGGGGAUGGACUCGCGGCUUAUCAGCUUGUUGGUGGGGUAGUGGCUUACCAAGGCUUUGACGGGUAGCCGGCCUGAGAGGGUGACCGGCCACAUUGGGACUGAGAUACGGCCCAGACUCCUACGGGAGGCAGCAGUGGGGAAUAUUGCACAAUGGGCGGAAGCCUGAUGCAGCAACGCCGCGUGCGGGAUGAAGGCCUUCGGGUUGUAAACCGCUUUCGCCUGUGACGAAGCGUGAGUGACGGUAAUGGGUAAAGAAGCACCGGCUAUCUACGUG
rnacentral:rRNA from 1 species